rnacentral:rRNA from 1 species
GACGAACGCUGGCGGCGCGCUUAACACAUGCAAGUCGAGCGAAGCGGCGGACGGGUCAGUAACACGUGCGUAACCUGCCUUAGACAUUGGGAUAGCCUCGGGAAACCGGGAGUAAUACCAAAUGGUCUAAGAUGGACUCGCGUCCCAUUAGCUAGUUGGUGAGGUAACGGCCCACCAAAGAGACGAUGGGUAGCCGGCCUGAGUGGGUGAACAGCCACAUUGGAACUGAGACACGGUCCAAACUCUACGGGAGGCAGCAGUGGGGAAUAUUGCACAAUGGAGGGAACUCUGAUGCAGCGACGCCGCGUGAACGAAGAAGGCUUUCGAGUCGUAAAGUUCUUUUAUAUGGGAAGCGGUACCAUAAGAAAAAGCCCCGGCUAACUACGUGCCAGCAGCCGCGGUAAUAC